rnacentral:rRNA from 1 species
UCCCUAGUAACUGCGAGUGAAGCGGGAAAAGCUCAAAUUUAAAAUCUGGUGGUCUUUGGCCAUCCGAGUUGUAAUCUAGAGAAGUGUUACCCGCGUCGGACCGUGUACAAGUCUCCUGGAAUGGAGCGUCAUAGAGGGUGAGAAUCCCGUCUUUGACACGGACCCCCGAGGCUUUGUGGUGCGCUCUCAAAGAGUCGAGUUGUUUGGGAAUGCAGCUCAAAAUGGGUGGUAAAUUCCAUCUAAAGCUAAAUAUUGGCGAGAGACCGAUAGCGAACAAGUACCGUGAGGGAAAGAUGAAAAGAACUUUGGAAAGAGAGUUAAACAGUACGUGAAAUUGCUGAAAGGGAAACGCUUGAAGUCAGUCGCGUUGGCCGGAAAUCAGCCUUCCUUUUGGUUGGUGUACUUUCUGGUUGACGGGCCAGCAUCAGUUUUGACCGGUGGAUAAAGUUGUGAGGAAUGUGGCAUCUUCGGGUGUGUUAUAGCCUCGCUUCGUAUACAUCGAUUGGGACUGAGGAACUCAGCACGCCGAAAGGCCGGGGUUCGCCCACGUUCGUGCUUAGGAUGCUGGCAUAAUGGCUUUAAUCGACCCGUCUUGAAACACGGACCAAGGAGUCUAACAUGCCUGCGAGUGUUUGGGUGGAAAACCCGAGCGCGUAAUGAAAGUGAAAGUCGAGAUCCUUGUCAUGGGGAGCAUCGACGCCCGGACCAGAAAGUUUACGGACGGCCCUGCGGUAGAGCAUGUAUGUUGGGACCCGAAAGAUGGUGAACUAUGCCUGAAUAGGGUGAAAGCCAGAGGAAACUCUGGUGGAGGCUCGUAGCGAUUCUGACGUGCAAAUCGA